CAUGUGUCUGCUUGGACUGAUCAUUCUCACAGAGCCAGUUGCACUCAUGCCAAGACGGAUUGAGGGGUGACUGCUUCUUCUAGUGGCCGCACCCUUCUUGUUGGUCGCAGCGCUUGCAGGGGAUGGACGGCCCGGCAUCCUGGCACAACGGACGUGUAAACGGGUGGGGUUCUCAUCCAGACCGCACCCUUCCUGGACCCACGAGGACACCAGUGUGCAUGCAGGGGGAAGAGACCGGUUUCCCGAGAAGAGUCGCCUUGGGCUUUUAAACAGAGGCAGUGAUGAGGCUCCAUUUCCUUCAGGAAAACUUAUUCUGGAACAACAGUGUGUGCUGUGAGAUGAGAACAGAGACACACUGAGCUUUAACCACUAACCAUCGACCAACUGCUGACUGAUGAGGAAACAUCAUUAGCUUCUGAGAGACAGAGACAAACUGAACCACAGUGAUCUGAACUGAAGACAGCGACUGUAACACAUUUCAGUUUCAUUCAGCAACAUGAAUGGUGAAAAUCAGACCUUGGUGGAUGAAUACAGUGAUCAUCCUACGGAUAAUUAUGACAACAGUGUCCCUAAUGAUUCAGAUAUCAGAAGGAUUAUCUUCUUCAUCACUAGUGUUUGUGUGGGUCUUCCAGCUCUGGUUUGGGCUUUUCGUCUUCUGCACCUUCACAGAAAGAUCAGAGGCCGAAUCUCAGUCUUCAUCCUCCUCCUCCUCCUCAAUGACCUGAUACAAUUACCCCUUCAUCUAUAUAUACUGGCAGGUAUACUGACAAGAUUUAGAUCCUUUAUCAUUCCGCUUGGUCAGUUUUGGUUGGGAUUACAUUGGUGUGGUUUUCAUCUGCAUCAGCUGGUGGCUCUGGAGGGGAUUUUGACUCUGAAAUAUCCGCUUUGGUCUGCUCGUAUUUUCUCACUGCCCUCUUACAUCAUAAUCUCCAUCCUUGUGCUUUUUUUUUCUAUAGUUAGUGCAUUAUUUCGUUCCCUGCAUUCACAAAAUACAAACAUGUCAUUAUUCAGUCUCAGCACAAGUGUUGUUCCUCUGAUCGUAUUGUCUGUAUCAUCUACAAUCAGCUGUAAAGCCUCUUCCACUCCUGUCAGAAAAAACCGUUCAGUGCUCACUGUUGCUAUUCUUACAUUUGUUAUGAUGUACUUACCUUUCAUGUUCAUCAUCUGUGUGGAUUUCUUUUAUUUAUAUGCAUAUGUCUAUCCAUGGUUGUUAAUAUCUUACUGUUUGAUUAGUUUGAGAGUGUUUUCAGACUCUAUUCUGUGUGGUUUGGUCUGCAGAGAAAAUCUCAGAGAUGUUCAGACGCCACAAACACACACAGAACCCAACGCUGAUGAGACGUCAGUCUAAACUUGAGUUUCAUUAGUCUGGUGUGAAUUUGGCUUCAAAACAAAACAUAAAAUGACCUGUAAAAUGAAAAAGAAUUAAUAAAAUAAAUAGAAUAUGACUAAAGGUUAUUGAUUCAUUUGAAAGGUCUGUGAUUG